rnacentral:rRNA from 1 species
UGGGGAAUAUUGCACAAUGGGCGAAAGCCUGAUGCAGCGACGCCGCGUGCGGGAUGAAGGCCUUCGGGUUGUAAACCGCUUUUAAUUGGGAGCAAGCGAGAGUGAGUGUACCUUUUGAAUAAGCACCGGCUAACUACGUGCCAGCAGCCGCGGUAAUACGUAGGGUGCAAGCGUUAUCCGGAAUUAUUGGGCGUAAAGAGCUCGUAGGCGGUUUGUCACGCCUGGUGUGAAAGUCCAUCGCUUAACGGUGGAUCUGCGCCGGGUACGGGCAGGCUAGAGUGCAGUAGGGGAGAUUGGAAUUCCCGGUGUAACGGUGGAAUGUGUANNAUAUCGGGAAGAACACCAAUGGCGAAGGCAGAUCUCUGGGCUGUUACUGACGCUGAGGAGCGAAAAGCAUGGGGAGCGAACAGGAUUAGAUACCCUGGUAGUCCAUGCCGUAAACGGUGGAUGCUGGAUGUGGGACCCUUCCACGGGUUCCGUGUCGGAGCUAACGCGUUAAGCAUCCCGCCUGGGGAGUACGGCC